ensembl:misc_RNA Y_RNA Y RNA
GGCUAGAAUAUACAGGAAAUUAAAAAUAUUCCUGUAUUACAACUAAUUGAUCACAACCAGUUACUGAUUUAUUUGUUUCUUUUCCACUCCCACUGCUUCACUUGACUAGCCUUAA